GCUAGGUAUAGUGUACCUGCAAUCCCUGCUACUGAGGAGGCCACAGCUGACAGAUCUGUUGACUUCAGUAAUUCAGAGCUGCAGAGGAGUAAGUUGAUCAGAUGCAUGCAUUAAAUCCAGCAUUAAUAUGGUAAGCCUCUGGGGGAGGGGAGCACCAGGUUACUUAAAGAGGGGUGAAUAGGCUCAGUUCAAAGCCACAGCAGGUCAAAACUCCUGUGCUCAUCGUUAGUGGGACAGGGCCUGUACUUCUAGCCUAGGAGAUAUAGGGAUAUCCAGUCUUU
rnacentral:SRP_RNA from 1 species